UAAGGAAUAUUGGGCAAUGGUCGGAAGACUGACCCAGCCAUGCCGCGUGCAGGAAGACGGCCCUAUGGGUUGUAAACUGCUUUUGUUGGGGAAUAAAACUUUCUACGAGUAGAGAGCUGAAGGUACCCGAAGAAUAAGCAUCGGCUGACUCCGUGCCAGCAGCCGCGGUAAUACGGAGGAUGCAAGCGUUAUCCGGAUUCAUUGGGUUUAAAGGGUGCGCAGGCGGAUUGGUAAGUCAGUGGUGAAAUUCUAGUGCUUAACAUUAGACCUGCCAUUGAUACUGUCAGUCUAGAGUAUAGUUGGAGUGGGCGGAAUGUGUCAUGUAGCGGUGAAAUGCUUAGAUAUGACACAGAACACCGAUCGCGAAGGCAGCUCACUAAGCUAAAACUGACGCUCAUGCACGAAAGCAUGGGGAUCAAACA
rnacentral:rRNA from 1 species